UUUAAACCCUCCCACCUCCCCGCCUCCCGCGGCCUGUCUGCUGUUGUUGCACGCAGUCGCAACCGGCCGCUUCUCGGCCAUGCAUGUACCGGCGGUCUCGCCAGCACCUGCCCCUAGGAAGCCGGCAGUUCCAGCAGGGGCGGCAACGGGCGGGGGAAGGGCUGUCGCCGCUCUUCACGUCGCCAAGACACACAGGAAGCCGGCUGGGCGUGUGCAGCACGACGGUGCUGCUUGGUUUGGCCGGGUUUGUUUGGUUUUUUCCCCCUGCUCGAAGCUCAUUACGACUUUGUGAAAUGAGACCUGCUUCCAGAGUAAGGUCGCGAUUCUCCUCGCACGUUUCCUCGGGAAUCGAGCUGCACUGGAUACUCAGCGAGAGUUUACUUCUGAGUAUACGUGCCUGGGAUGUGGCUGAGUUGAGCGUUUUGGGAUUACGGUCGUUUAACGCGAUUUUGAGCAUGUUUACUCACAAGUAAGUCUCGCUGGCUGCCUAGGUCUCCGCUAUCAAGUAAGUGUGCGUGCUUGCUUUGUUAAGCAAGUUCUGGGAGCAAAAGAGCAAUCAACACUUUGCUCUAGAAGUGGAAGAAAAGACUCCUCCCCCUCCCUCCCUCGCUUCCAUUUUUCAGCCAUGUUUGCCGUGUCUGCAGAACGUGAGGGAAGGGCUGGAACAGCCUGAGGAGGAGCCCCUUGAAGAAAACUUCUUUGCCCUAGUGACAAAGUGUCAAGGAGGGGAUUGGUCACUAUCUCAUGUCCUGCAUAUAAACUUAUGUCCAUAAUACCCUGAAAGGAAGAAUGGGGCACUGUGCAAGAUGCAAAAUAAUGUCCAGGCUGCCAACACUCAUGGUAACUGUCCGAAACACUAAGAGAAAAAGAAAGGAGAGUUGAAAGAAGAAUCUGCUACAGCCAGUGCUACUCCACCUUCAAGAAACUGUUGGAGAAUUUCUCCUCCCACUGAAGACAUUAGGUGAAAUUAUCAACCCAGCUUCUCUGCUCACACACAAGAGAUUUUCUGGAAGGUCUGAAUACAACUGUAAUGUGAUUCCACUGUUAAUUGGGUCAUACCGACCUGUAAACACAUGGCCAGCGGCACUGAGGACUUGUCUGUUGGCAUCAACCAUUGUUUCUUCUUUCCGACAACCUUUGAAAGCACACCUGAUGCCCUCUCUGAACCUUGGAAAACCUAAUUUGAAUGUCUGUAGCUGCCUCCCGCUUUCCAUCAUAAGACUGUAACCAAAUGUAGGUUUCAUGGCUGGAACAUUACCCCAGUCUUUUCCCCACUUUGUUUACAAUCUUAUACAGAGUUCUGGAGAAUCCAAAGAUUUGCACAGUAUUUUGUGACCUCUGUAAUGUCAUAAUAAAGGUGUGUAUGGUGCUAUGGA